rnacentral:rRNA from 1 species
GAUGAACGCUGGCGGUCUGCUUAACACAUGCAAGUCGAACGGGAGUAGCAAUACUUCAGUGGCGGACGGGUGAGUAACGCGUGAGAAUCUGCCUUCGGGUCGGGGACAACCACGGGAAACGGUGGCUAAUACCGGAUGUGCCUAACGGUGAAAGAUUUAUUGCCCGAAGAGGAGCUCGCGUCUGAUUAGCUAGUUGGUGAGGUAAAAGCUCACCAAGGCGGCGAUCAGUAGCUGGUCUGAGAGGACGAUCAGCCACACUGGGACUGAGACACGGCCCAGACUCCUACGGGAGGCAGCAGUGGGGAAUUUUCCGCAAUGGGCGAAAGCCUGACGGAGCAAGACCGCGUGGGGGAAGAAGGCUCUUGGGUCGUAAACCUCUUUUGUCAGGGAAGAACAAAAUGACGGUACCUGACGAAUCAGCCUCGGCUAACUCCGUGCCAGCCGCCGCCGUAAAA